GGCUGCCUUCCCGGGAACGCGGCGACGUCGGGGCUGAGCGAGGCUCGGAGGGAGGGACGGCGCGGUGGGCGUUCUGGGCCGUGGGGUCCGGGGCUGAGGGAGGAGGCGGUCGUCCGCGCUGGCGUGUUGAGCCGGGUCGGGAGGCCUGACACCCUGGAAGUUCCGGACGGAGACUCGAGAAAGGGGGCCCGCCGCCCGAGGUCCCCACAGAUCCCUCCGACCAGUGCUUGGGUUGCGGGUUAAACUGCAUCGGAAGUCGGUGCUUUCAAACCCCACUGCCCUGUUAUUAAACUCCGUGUGCUUCUUGGAGAUCGUCCCCAAUGCCGUAGCUGUGGCGUGACUUGUCCAGCACGUCCCCUGUUGGUAGACCGUUUGUUACCAGUUUUUUGGAGACAAGCUGCCUUUUUUUGCAAGUGGUCCCUCUGGAAGUUUCCUCUGACCGUUGAAGUUCAGCCGCCAAAGCAAUGGAGGGAGAACCUUCCCCAGCACAGCGUACAGGGGUUCGUCUGACUUGGGAAAACUGCAGUCUCACCUUUGUUGACAGUUGUGUUUCUGACGGUUGGUAUUUUAACUUUUUCUUGGAAUCACUUUUCACUUUGAUGCAAAGCCACUGAAACCUCCUUUGAAGGGGUGAUGCGGAUUGAUGGGUCUGGACGGCAGCGGCAGUGCGAGCUGUGAUUUCUGUCCCACCGUGGCGGGGAUGGAACACACCGCUCCCGUUCAUUACGCAUCUGUUUUGUGCCAGCCGCUUCGCCAAUGUCACCCUGGUAACUUGUUUUGUUUAUGAUUUAGGUAUUGGCUAUAGAGUGAGUGUGUCACCAUCAGAUCGCAUGUUGAAACCUAGCGCCUGAUGGGAAUCACGUAGGCAUAAAUGCCGGACUCUGCCCACGUGGGCAAAGAGGCCUCUUUUUGGGGGGGAGUGAACAAACCCCCUAAAAGAGGCCUGGACGAAGACACCCCCCCCCCCCGCCCCGGCCGACCUUGUCAGCCUACGUACAUGUGUAAGAUGAAGUCGUUAGAGGGUUUGGGGGUGCGUAGCUGUGAAAUAAAUACGUUUCUUCUAUCUUC